rnacentral:tRNA from 1 species
GCCAGUAUGGUGGAUAUGACCCUCGGCUUGUAAUUGAGUGGGCUCGGGUUCGAAACCCGAAUAAGGCA